rnacentral:misc_RNA from 1 species
UCCGGUUUGUCACCGGCGGUCCCCUUAGAGUUCCCAACUGAAUGCUGGCAACUAAGGGCAAGGGUUGCGCUCGUUGCGGGACUUAACCCAACAUCUCACGACACGAGCUGACGACAGCCAUGCAGCACCUGUGACCGGAUCCCGAAGGAGGGCCCUGGUUUCCCAAGGCUUUCCCGGCCAUGUCAAGCCCAGGUAAGGUUCUUCGCGUUGCGUCGAAUUAAACCACAUGCUCCACCGCUUGUGCGGGCCCCCGUCAAUUCCUUUGAGUUUCAGCCUUGCGGCCGUACUCCCCAGGCGGGGCACUUAAUGCGUUAGCGCCGACACUCAGGGGGUCGCUCCCCCAAGCAUCUAGUGCCCAUCGUUUACGGCGUGGACUAC